CGCGACGGGCGGCUCGACACCCCGUCCGACACCGCCCCGCCGGCCAAAGCGGGCGCCGCGGACACCAGUCUCUGAAGCCGGCAGGGACCGAGUGGGAGAGACCUGCCUGGCGUCGUCCGGCUCGGGAUGCCUGAAGUAGACCGGCCGAGGACGUCUGUGUGCGUCUGGCCAGGGACGCUGGGAUUAGCCGGUCUGGGAUGUCUGGACUAGUUUGGCCGGGGCGGCCCGAAUUAGACUGGCCUGGGGACACCUGGAUUAGGCUGCCCAGGGCUGCCUGGCUAAAUCCAAGACGUUGCCCGAGACCUUGUGAACUAGACUGGACAAAACAGUGAGAAAUAGGGAGCGAUCUUGUCCCCUGCAGAAGGAUGGGCUCAAAUUGUUGGAUUAGGCUGGCCUGGAUCAGUCUGGCCUCCCUCGCUUGGGACGUUGUGGACCAGACAGCACUGGGAAAUAGGGACCGAUCCUGCCCCCUGCAGGAGGAUGGACUGGGAGGGCUGGAGGGGCGGUUUUUCCCGUCAUAAGGUUUCUUUCUUCUGUUUGCCAGCAUGGGAGAUGGAAAACGCCUCGAGGGACAGCUGUGUGAUUUCAGCAUCUGGGAGAAAGGGGCCCACGUGCCAGCCCAGGGAGCUCUGGAGAAAAGGUGGCAGCCAUCGCUUUGUGCGGCUCAUCCCCAAAGGGCAAAGAGUGCCGGGAGGAGGGUGAAGUGUGCCCCAAGCUGGCUACCUGCCAGUGACUCACUGCUAAGUGCGGACAGCCUCGAAGCUCUGGACUGUGGUGACACGCAACAGUGUGAGGAGGAUCAGUGUUAAAUCACAAAUGAUGCAAAACAAAUGGAGCAAUCGUAUUGAUUUGGAAGGAUUCUUUGAGGUGACUUGGAUGGACAUUUUGAAGGGC